GCUUUUGUAUUUUCCAACAUACGUUUCAUUUUGAAUUUUGCUUCUAACCCCUCUCUUUUUCCAUUACUUCUCAACUCUCCGUUUCUCAUUUUCGUUCCUCUCCAUUCCUCUCCAUUCUUCUGAAUCCUCUGUUCCUUUCCAUUCUUCUGGGUUCUUUUCUCUCCUAUCCUACUGCAUUUUCUUUUUUCAUUUGGUUAGUUUGGCCAAAAAAUCAAAAGGUUGUUGCUUGGUAAAGCCGUUAUUUUCUCUCCCGUGAGGAAAACCCAAAGGCUGAAGCUUUUUUGCUUGGUUUGACAGUUCUUUGCUUGGUUUGACCGAAAAAUGAUUUCUGGGUUCUUUUCUAUCUUAUCCUUCUACGUGAUGUAUUUGAUUUCUCCUUUGGUUUGUGGUUCUGACAGUCCAAAAAAUUGUAUUUUUUUUGUGUUCCUCGGGCUUAUUUGACUGGCUGACUAUUGUUCUUCCUUUGCAACACAAAAGCUUCAAUUUUUUUGUGUCUUCUGCCUUUGUUUUGUGUUAUGACUUUUCGCAGGACAAAAACUUAAAUAUUUUUGGGUGUUCUGCCUUUGUCUAAUGGUACAAUAUAUUUUUUGGUAUGUUGAUUUUUUUUAUUAAUCGCUAUUGUAUGCAGAGAAGGUGGAAAAACACACUAAAGUUGCGAUUUUUAUCUCAAAAACUCCAUGAGUACAGAGAAGGUAGAAGAACACACUAAAGUUGGGAUUUUUAUCUCAAAAACUCCAUGAGUACAGAGAAUGGUGGAAGAAGACACUAAAGCUGUGAUUUUUAUCUCAAAAACUCCAUGAAUACAGAUUCAUUUUCUUACUUUGUCUAUCAAAGCUUAAAUUUUUGUGUUCCUGAGCCUUCUCCGACGUGCUUCCCCCACCAUUGUCGAUUUUUAUCUCCAAACUCCAUGAAUACAUGUUUGUUUUCUUGCUUCGUUUUCCCUUCCCGUCUUCUUCUAUGUUUUCUUUUUUUAUCUCUAUUUGCAUUUGUAUGCGAUUUUUAUUUCGAUUUUUUGUUUUUUCACUGCAUGUUCAUUGUUUCUUCUAAAGCUGCGAUUUUUAUCUCAGAAAGCUUCGAUUUUUAUCUCCAAACUCCAUGUGCACAGUUGAAUUUCUCGGAAACGGACCCCAUUCAUAGGUAUCAGAUGAACAUAGUUGGAUUGUUGUUGUUCUGCCUUAAUGGAACAAUAUGGAAAAAUAUGGAUCUUUGUGUUGCAUUCACUACCUAUUUUUAUCUUUUUUGUGUUC